GACGUAGGGCGCGAGCGUUGUCCGGAUUUAUUGGGCGUAAAGAGCUCGUAGGCGGCUUGUUGCGUCGUCCGUGAAAACCUGGGGCUCAACUCCAGGCUUGCGGUCGAUACGGGCAGGCUAGAGUUCGGCAGGGGAGACUGGAAUUCCUGGUGUAGCGGUGAAAUGCGCAGAUAUCAGGAAGAACACCAAUGGCGAAAGCAGCUCUCUGGGACGGUACUGACGCUGAGACGCGAAAGCGUGGGGAGCGAACAGG
rnacentral:rRNA from 1 species